UAGGGAAUAUUGGACAAUGGGGGCAACCCUGAUCCAGCCAUGCCGCGUGAGUGAAGAAGGCCCUCGGGUUGUAAAGCUCUUUUGUCCGGAAAGAAAAGCUUCGGGUUAAUACCCCGGGGUUCUGACGGUACCGGAAGAAUAAGCACCGGCUAACUUCGUGCCAGCAGCCGCGGUAAUACGAAGGGUGCAAGCGUUACUCGGAAUUACUGGGCGUAAAGCGUGCGUAGGUGGUUGUUUAAGUCUGAUGUGAAAGCCCUGGGCUCAACCUGGGAAUGGCAUUGGAGACUGGGCAGCUAGAGUGCGGUAGAGGGUAGUGGAAUUCCCGGUGUAGCAGUGAAAUGCGUAGAGAUCGGGAGGAACAUCUGUGGCGAAGGCGACUGCCUGGACCAGCACUGACACUGAGGCACGAAAGCGUGGGGAGCAAACA
rnacentral:rRNA from 1 species